UACGAAGGGGGCUAGCGUUGCUCGGAAUUACUGGGCGUAAAGGGAGCGUAGGCGGACAUUUAAGUCAGGGGUGAAAUCCCAGAGCUCAACUCUGGAACUGCCUUUGAUACUGGGUGUCUUGAGUGUGAUAGAGGUAUGUGGAACUCCGAGUGUAGAGGUGAAAUUCGUAGAUAUUCGGGAAAGAACACCAGUGGCGAAGGCGACAUACUGGAUCAUUACUG
rnacentral:rRNA from 1 species